GAUGAACGCUGGCGGCGUGCCUAAUACAUGUAAGUCGAACGGAGGGUUUUUGCUUCGGUAGAGACCCUUAGUGGCGAACGGGUGAGUAACGCGUUGGUGACCUGCCCCGAAGAGCGGGAUAACAGAUCGAAAGGUCUGCUAAUACCGCAUGAGGUCGUGGAGGUUAGAGGCUUCACGACGAAAGGAGCGAUCCGCUUUGGGAGGGGCCUGCGUCCCAUCAGCUAGUUGGUAGGGUAAAAGCCUACCAAGGCGAAGACGGGUAGGGGACCUGAGAGGGUGACCCCCCACACUGGCACUGAAACACGGGCCAGACACCUACGGGUGGCAG
rnacentral:rRNA from 1 species